CACGUAGGGGGCGAGCGUUGUCCGGAUUUAUUGGGCGUAAAGAGCUCGUAGGCGGUUUGGCAAGUCGGGUGUGAAAUUUCGAGGCUCAACCUCGAAACGCCACUCGAUACUGCCAUGACUGGAGUCCGGUAGAGGAGUGCGGAAUUCCUGGUGUAGCGGUGAAAUGCGCAGAUAUCAGGAGGAACACCAACGGCGAAGGCAGCACUCUGGGCCGGUACUGACGCUGAGGAGCGAAAGCGUGGGGGGCAAACAGG
rnacentral:rRNA from 1 species